rnacentral:rRNA from 1 species
AGAACGAACGCUGGCGGCAUGCCUAAUACAUGCAAGUCGAACGAACUCUUCGGAGUUAGUGGCGCACGGGUGCGUAACGCGUGGGAAUCUGCCCCUUGGUUCGGAAUAACAGUUGGAAACGACUGCUAAUACCGGAUGAUGACGAAAGUCCAAAGAUUUAUCGCCAAGGGAUGAGCCCGCGUAGGAUUAGCUAGUUGGUGAGGUAAAGGCUCACCAAGGCAACGAUCCUUAGCUGGUCUGAGAGGAUGAUCAGCCACACUGGGACUGAGACACGGCCCAGACUCCUACGGGAGCAGCAGUAGGGAAUAUCGGACAAGUGGGCGAAAGCCUGAUCCAGCAAUGCCGCGUGAGUGAUGAAGGCCUUA